rnacentral:rRNA from 1 species
CGGCUCGCCAAGGCAACGAUGCGUAGCCGACCUGAGAGGGUGAUCGGCCACACUGGGACUGAGACACGGCCCAGACUCCUACGGGAGGCAGCAGUAGGGAAUCUUCCGCAAUGGACGAAAGUCUGACGGAGCAACGCCGCGUGAGUGAUGAAGGUUUUCGGAUCGUAAAGCUCUGUUGUUAGGGAAGAACAAGUGCCGUUCAAAUAGGGCGGCACCUUGACGGUACCUAACCAGAAAGCCACGGCUAACUACGUGCCAGCAGCCGCGGUAAUACGUAGGUGGCAAGCGUUGUCCGGAAUUAUUGGGCGUAAAGGGCUCGCAGGCGGUUUCUUAAGUCUGAUGUGAAAGCCCCCGGCUCAACCGGGGAGGGUCAUUGGAAACUGGGGAACUUGAGUGCAGAAGAGGAGAGUGGAAUUCCACGUGUAGCGGUGAAAUGCGUAGAGAUGUGGAGGAACACCAGUGGCGAAGGCGACUCUCUGGUCUGUAACUGACGCUGAGGAGCGAAAGCGUGGGGAGCGAACAGGAUUAGAUACCCUGGUAGUCCACGCCGUAAACGAUGAGUGCUAAGUGUUAGGGGGUUUCCGCCCCUUAGUGCUGCAGCUA